AAUACUUCCCGUUUGAUUUGUGCAGCGUCGCCCAAGUUUUAGUGUCACAGAGCGAGUAGACAUCGCUAUAAGGUUGUAGUGUAGAUAAUUCAAGACACCUGGUUGACGUUUUUAACAACCCAAAUCACAUUAUAAAUGAUGUCUAAUCACAACGUAACCAACAACAUGUAUACUUCAAACAUUACAUACCAUGUUAACGGUGAUGGUGUCGGGGUACAGAUUGGAAACGGUAAUAGUUUCCAACAGACCAAUCAACUUCAAGAAGAGGUAGUUGACCUGCGGGAAGAGGUAGGUGAAUUAAAAGACCAAGUCCGGCAACUGAAGGAAAGAAUGGCCGCGUUAGAAAAUAAUAAUGAUGAUACAAACACUGAGGAACCAGAAUAUCAGAUGGAUGACGAGGAGGAGGAUAUGAUUACUCUUAAGAUCAUACGUUUUGUUGGGUAUGGUGAGAUGACUAUAAGGGUUAGUAGAGAUAAACCUGUAAGUCAACUAGUAUCUAUAAUAAAGGAGGAGGAUAGAAGGAAGUAUGGUAGAGAUGUUGGUGUUCGUUGUACUUAUACCUACAGGUUAAAACAGAUGAAGAUCAUCUACGACUAUAACAACAACAACAACAGCGAUCUACCAUUAUCACAUCAUGAUGUAGGUGAUGGUGAUACAGUCUUCUGGGGGUAGUUUGUUUGAUUAUAAAACAGGAAGAGUUUAUAUACAUAUAUAAGUCUUGUUUUAUGUACUGAUAUUUAUACAAUCCCAUGUAUACGUAAUCACAAUGUCAUAUUAUAAUGGAUAUUUUA